AGCGAACGCUGGCGGCAGGCUUAACACAUGCAAGUCGAGCGGGCACUUUCGGGUGUCCGCGGCGGACGGGUGAGUAACGCGUGGGAACGUGCCCUCUGGUUCGGAAUAACUCAGGGAAACUUGAGCUAAUACCGGAUACGCCCUUUUGGGGAAAGGCUUGCUGCCGGAGGAUCGGCCCGCGUCUGAUUAGCUAGUUGGUGAGGUAACGGCUCACCAAGGCGACGAUCAGUAGCUGGCCUGAGAGGAUGAUCAGCCACACUGGGACUGAGACACGGCCCAGACUCCUACGGGAGGCAGCAGUGGGGAAUAUUGGACAAUGGGCGCAAGCCUGAUCCAGCCAUGCCGCGUGAGUGAUGAAGGCCUUAGGGUUGUAAAGCUCUUUUAUCCGGGACGAUAAUGACGGUACCGGAGGAAUAAGCCCCGGCUAACUUCGUG
rnacentral:rRNA from 1 species